rnacentral:lncRNA from 1 species
AUAAAUAUAGAAAAAAAAUAUAUGCAAUGAGUUUGAAUGUGAUUUCCUUUAUUUGAUUCUUAAAAGCAGCAACAACAACAUCAUAACUAUCCCUAAGCAACAGCAGAAUACAAUGAGCAUAAGAACAAGCUAUAAAGGGCCCCAAAAUGACCAUUGUAUCACAAUUCAAACAGGAAAACCAACGGUCUAAUCUAUUUACCAAAACGAGAAACAUUUAUCAAACAUACCAACAAACGACAAGCACUGUUCCUGACUUAAAUUCCUGACUUAGGACAGGUGCAUAUAAUAUAUGCAGCGGAUUUGAACGUUUUAACAAGCGCCAACCUUCACCCUAAACCUGAUACAGCAGUAUAUUAACAUUACAAACAGAAAAGACGCACUAUAAAAUAUUAAUUGAAAACGGCUUUACUCAGACUAUAAAAAAAAUGAAUGUAAUAUGAAAUCGUGUGUACCAGUGUAUGACUGAAAUUUC